CCUACGGGAGGCAGCAGUGAGGAAUAUUGGUCAAUGGGCGCAAGCCUGAACCAGCCAAGUCGCGUGAGGGAUGACGGUCCUAUGGAUUGUAAACCUCUUUUGUCGGGGAGCAAGGGCCGCAACGUGUGGCGGGAAGGAGAGUACCCGAAGAAAAAGCAACGGCUAACUCCGUGCCAGCAGCCGGGGUAAUAGGGAGGAGGCGAGCGUUAUCCGGAUUUAUUGGGUGUAAAGGGUGCGCAGGCGGAUGUUUAAGUCAGUGGUCAAAUGGCGGUGCUCAACACCGGCCUGCCGUUGAAACUGGUCUUCUUGAGUGUGCGAGAAGUAUGCGGAAUGCGUGGUGUAGCGGUGAAAUGCAUAGAUAUCACGCAGAACUCCGAUUGCGAAGGCAGCAUACCGGCGCUCAACUGACGCUGAGGCACGAAAGCGUGGGGAUCGAACAGGAUUAGAUACCCUAGUAGUC
rnacentral:rRNA from 1 species